rnacentral:lncRNA from 12 species
CCUCAAGGCAGUAUUUGGAAUUCAUGCUCCCCACCUGUGUCUACCAAUACUCUCCCUGGGGCAGGAUGCAAAAUUAUUCACAUGCCAGUGUUCUGGCCUAGACCAAAAUGUUAUUAUGGUUAAAAAUUAUUUAUGUUCCAAUUACACUUCAUUACUUUUUAACUAAAGAUCUCAUUUCACUCCAGUGAAGAAUCCAAUACAAUCUGGGUCAUUUCAAACCAGCCACAGAGAACCUGCAUUUGGGGGACAUAUUUCAAGGAAGACACAGCCCACCAUUUAGAAUCCUCCCGAAUCUAUGAGACAAAGUGCUUCGGUGAAGCUCAGAGACUCAGUUUGGAGUUGCUACCAAAGGAGAGCAUCUUUAAAUUUUCAGAUACCUUGGAAUUCUCUAAGCCUUGUUGGUAAACAUGCCACAGCAUCUAAAGCCCCUAAGAGGGCCUUCCAGUAACUUGAAUCUUUUCUAUAAGCCAGUAUUUGCUUCAAGCUCCAGAUAAAAGGUAAGCUUUCCUUUAAUUAGAAAAAAUCUUUCUAAAAACUGCCUAUUGUAUUUCCAGGAA